rnacentral:rRNA from 1 species
ACGCCCACUAGCUAGCCCACCUUAACAAAACAAAUAACCCAAUAUUUAUAACCCCCAAUACACUUUUCCCCACCCACUAAACAAACCAUUUUACCCCCACAGUAUGGGCGACAAAAAAGGAACUACCGGAGCAACAGAGAAAGUACCGCAAGGGAACGCUGAAAGAGAAGUGAAACAACCCAGUGAAGCUUAAAAUAGCAGAGAUUUAACCUCGUACCUUUUGCAUCAUGAUUUAGCCAGUACACCCCAAGCAAAGCGGCACUUUAGUUUGGGCCCCCGAAACUACGUGAGCUACUCCAAGACAGCCUAUUAAUAGGGCAAACCCGUCUCUGUGGCAAAAGAGUGGGAAGAGCUUUGAGUAGAGGUGACAGACCUAUCGAACCUAGUGAUAGCUGGUUGCCUGAGAAUUGGACAGGAGUUCAGCCUCCCGGCUUCUUUCUUCCCCAUGGUCGCACCCCUAACCGACAUCAAAGAAACCAGGAGAGUUAUUCAAAGGAGGUACAGCCCCUUUGAAACAAGACACAACUUUCCCAGGAGGGUAAAGAUCACAAUCACCAAAGGUAACUUGCUGCGGUGGGCCUAAAAGCAGCCAUCCCUACAGAAAGCGUUAAAGCUCAAGCACUUAACCCAACCAUAUAUUUAGAUAAUCAAAUCCCAACCCCCUAACACUAUCAGGCCAUCUCAUGUACACAUGAGAGUGUUCAUGCUAAUAUGAGUAAUAAGAGAGCUAAGCCUCUCUCCUUGCACACGUGUAAGUCGGAUCGGACCCCCACCGACAAUUAACGGCCCCAAACAAAGAGGGCAAUGAACGACAAGUAAUCAACCAGAAAACCGCUCAAGCAAAUACCGUUAACCCCACACUGGUGUGCCCCCAAGGAAAGACCAAAAGAAGAAGAAGGAACUCGGCAAACACAUCAAGCCUCGCCUGUUUACCAAAAACACCGCCUCUUGCAAAAUGUAAGAAUAAGAGGUCCAGCCUGCCCUGUGACUAUAAGUUUAACGGCCGCGGUAUUCUAACCGUGCGAAGGUAGCGCAAUCACUUGUCUUUUAAAUGAAGACCUGUAUGAAUGGAUCAACGAGGGCUUAACUGUCUCCUUCCUCAAGUCAAUGAAAUUGAUCUCCCCGUGCAGAAGCGGGGAUAAGCACAUAAGACGAGAAGACCCUAUGAAGCUUUAGACACCAAGGCAUGCCACGUUAAAACUCCCCCCACUAAAGGACCAAACUAAAUGGAUUAUGCCCCCUGUCUUUGGUUGGGGCGACCGCGGGGAAAUAAAAAACCCCCACGUGGAAUGGGAACACUACCUUCCCAGAACCAAGAGCUGCAGCUCUAAUAAACAGAAUUUCUGACCAAUUCAGAUCCGGCAAUGCCGAUCAACGGACCGAGUUACUCUAGGGAUAACAGCGCAAUCCCCUUUUAGAGCCCAUAUCGACAAGGGGGUUUACGACCUCGAUGUUGGAUCAGGACAUCCUAAUGGCGCAGCCGCUAUUAAGGGUUCGUUUGUUCAACGAUUAAAGUCCUACGUGAUCUGAGUUCAGACCGGAGUAAUCCAGGUCAGUUUCUAUCUAUGACAUGUUCUUUUCUAGUACGAAAGGGCCGAAAAGAAGAGGCCAAUACUGAAAGCACGCCCCACCCCUCCUAAUGAAAACAACUAAAAUAGGCAAAAGGGCAUAGCCCCCUCCUCCUGAGAUUAAGGCUU